GGCUGAAUUACAGCAUGAAUUUCUUAAGAUAUUCUAUCCCAUAGGUUGAACCAACAUCAUGAGAUGAGCCAUCACUGCUUAGCUUUCGGAGGAACAAAUUCAUGAAUCAUAAAAAAGACUUAAGGAACUUUUGAGAAAAUACCCACACCAUGGUCUACCUAAGUGGCAAAUUGUUCAAGCUUUCUAUGAGGGUUUAGGAGACCAAUAUAGAUAGAUGGGAGAUG
rnacentral:lncRNA from 1 species